rnacentral:rRNA from 1 species
UCCUACGGGGGGCAGCAGUGGGGAAUAUUGCACAAUGGGGGGAACCCUGAUGCAGCAAUGCCGCGUGAAGGAUGAAGGUUUUCGGAUUGUAAACUUCUUUUGUACGGGACGAAGAAAGUGACGGUACCGUAAGAAUAAGCCACGGCUAACUACGUGCCAGCAGCCGCGGUAAUACGUAGGUGGCAAGCGUUAUCCGGAUUUACUGGGUGUAAAGGGCGAGUAGGCGGGAUUGCAAGUCAGAUGUGAAAUCCUAUGGCUUAACCAUAGAACUGCAUUUGAAACUGUUAUUCUAGAGUAUGGGAGAG